CUUGAAUGCAGUUGAUCAAGUUGCUGUUAGCAUGUAAAAUAAGUUUCUUUGUUUUGCUGAUAGUCUAGUUCUCCAAAGAGCUUUUUCAAUCUUUAUCAAUCUUUAAAGUUAAAUAGCUUUCCUAAUAGUCCUUUGAAAGGAUGAUUGUAUUUAUAUGUUAAUGAAGCUCAGGUACCUGACAAUGAUGAGCAGUUUGUACCAGACUAUCAGGCUGAAAGUUUGGCUUUUCAUGGCCUACCACUGAAAAUCAAGAAAGAACCCCAUAGUCCAUGUUCAGAAAUCGGCUCUGCCUGCAGUCAAGAACAGCCCUUUAAAUUCAGCUAUGGAGAAAAGUGCCUGUACAAUGUCAGUGCCUAUGAUCAGAAGCCACAAGUGGGAAUGAGGCCCUCCAACCCCCCCACACCAUCCAGCACGCCAGUGUCCCCACUGCAUCAUGCAUCUCCAAACUCAACUCAUACACCGAAACCUGACCGGGCCUUCCCAGCUCACCUCCCUCCAUCGCAGUCCAUACCAGAUAGCAGCUACCCCAUGGACCACAGAUUUCGCCGCCAGCUUUCUGAACCCUGUAACUCCUUUCCUCCUUUGCCGACAAUGCCAAGGGAAGGACGUCCUAUGUACCAACGCCAGAUGUCUGAGCCAAACAUCCCCUUCCCACCACAAGGCUUUAAGCAGGAGUACCACGACCCAGUGUAUGAACACAACACCAUGGUUGGCAGUGCGGCCAGCCAAAGCUUUCCCCCUCCUCUGAUGAUUAAACAGGAACCCAGAGAUUUUGCAUAUGACUCAGAAGUGCCUAGCUGCCACUCCAUUUAUAUGAGGCAAGAAGGCUUCCUGGCUCAUCCCAGCAG
rnacentral:sRNA from 1 species